CACUAUAGGCUACGUUUGCCUUGUGCGCUGUAAUGAGCAGAUGCUUUAAUCUUUUAGGUUUCAUUCUGCAUAGUUUACUAGGAAAGAACUGAGGAGGCUUUCUUCCAUUAAUGGAGGGUUAGAGUAACAGAAGAGAGCACUUUGUUUCUGUUAUCCUCCUGGUGUUUCAGCUUUCAUCAUUCAACAUGCCAAUAAAGGGACAUAAUAAAGGGAUUCAGGCUCAAUCUAGAUUUACUGUUCUCUGUUAAAACUGCCAAGCAAGACAGGCCAUUUCUGAAACCACAGAAGGACAUUUGUAGUAAAGAGUCUUUUGCUGCCAAAUAAUAUGCUAAUAGCAAAGCUUCAAACAAAAGCAUCAUGGACCAUCACUUUCAGAAGCAUACUAAGAUAUGCAUCUGAUCACCAACGAGGCGGUGAAGGAAGUGAGGAUUGGGAAAGAAGAAGAAGCACUUCUACUGAAGGAACAACACUUCUUUGUUUUAAUAAGCUGUACCCGGAAUAGAACUUUUCCCCCCUGAAUCUAAUAUUCUCAAGUGCGUUAAAAUACUGUAACUGAUUAAACCAAUGGGAAAAUAAGAGGGUUUCAUGUUCACAAGUCCGAUUUCCCUUUGGAUAUCAACGAUCUUACAUUACAGAUCCUUAAAAACAAUCCAAAAAUUUACUGAUCAAACAGCUACUCUUAGAGGCUGAAUUUUGAAGGUGGUAAAAACUCUGAACCAAUUUUUACUGAAAUAGGCACUAUCUAGAUUGCAAAGCACACACAACUUUGGAAUAAAUUGUUACUGUUAACCUACAAUAUUGUAUGCCUAACUGACAAACACUCAUCUAAUCUGACAUACUAACAAGUAUGCUGUUGAACAAUCAUUAUGCAUAUUUACGUUAUCUUGAGGGAGGGAGUUGAGUUAAUAACAUUACCAGUGAUUUGGAUGUGCGGAAGACAGAGAGAGCGAGCAUUUGUACCCACUCAUUAUGUGGGGAAAUGCAUACACUUUGGGAAAUCAAGUGGGUCAGGUCUAAACAUGUCACCUGCUAUUGUUAUCUCAUUACCUGGGAGAGCAGUUUUUACACUCCCUAACCCCAGCAGUUUUGCCAUUUCAAUCUGGGACAACCUAAACAGACUGAAAUCUGUUUAGAGUGCAGUAGAAGCCAUUAAAAUCAAGCCUGUUUCUAUAAGCAUAGGCUCUCCUCCUAGUAUUGCUGCCUGCCUGGGACUGCAAAAGGGGGGGGGCAGUGUAGGUGUCAAAUACCCAGAAGGUCGCAAUAGAUUUCAGCUGGAAGGUUUUUAGGUUAAAGAGGCCCAAAUUGUCCAGGCAUACUCUAUGAAGUUCAUCCUGCCUCACUAACCAUUUGAAGUUCUUUGAGAGGGUCAGCAAUGGCUGACAAUGGCUAUAAGUAAUUAUGGCCAUAUGGAACCUUCAGGUUCAAAGGCAAUAUGUUCCUGGAUGCAACUGCUGGGGAGCAACAGCAGAGGAGAUCUACUGCCCUGGUUGUGGGCUUCCCAGAAGCAUCUAGUCGGCCACUGUGAGAACAGGAUGCUUGACUAGAUGGCCCUAAUCCAGCAGAGCCGCUCUUACAGUAGGUCUUCAACUGCUGAAUUCAGACUAAAUCAAAGGAGUCCACACUUAGGCAAACAGAAUAGAGGAUCAAUGUCGGCCAAGAUGGUUCAACAGCAAAACAAGAGCAGCUGACGGAAAAAAAAAUCUUUUCCCCCAACACACUUUGAUAAUAUCGUUUUCAAGGAAUAUUUGAAACAUUCCUUGACCAGUGAGGAAUUACUGAAUUGCUUGAGGGACAAAUGCUUCCAGAUAACAGAUACUUUCAUCAGCCUGUUUAGGGCUUUUGCAAGAACACAUAUUUCUCAGGCAGUCAAGUGAAAAUAUUCCUUGAAAAAAGAAGCUAUUGGAACACAUUGGGGGGGGGGGUUUCAUCAGCUGCUCUUGCACUGUUGUUGUGGCCAACCUAGAGUAUACAACCAUUUUCAGUUGUUUUUAAAGUGGAGAAAGAGAGAAGGAUAAGGCUAGGAAGAGAGACAGAAAGAUGAUUUUAAAAAGCAGGAGAGACACAGAUAAGGAAGGCUAACAUAUAGCAAAAAAUUAAAAGACCACCCCAUGUUGCAGAUGAAGGUAGAGGUGAGUCCCAGGACUAAGAAACAGGGCAAAUCUUCCAAAGGUUUUUUUGUCAUCAUUUUUUUAACUUAUUCUAAUGCCCCCCCCUUUUUUGCCUAAGAUACAAUGUAUGACACUGAAACCUAUUUCAAUCAGCUCAGCAGAAUGUGUUGAAAUCAUGUUUUCUCUUCAAAAAUUUAGUCCAUAUAAACUAAAAUUUUCUUUAAAAACACAGAGGUUGAUCAAAUAGUGCAACUUUAAACUGCCUCUACUCCUCCACCACUUCAACAUUUAACAUACAUUAUUUUGUUCAAAUCUAUACUGAGAGCAGUUUUUACACCAGGAUGACAAUUUCCUACAAAUGGUAAUAUGGUUAGAUCUUUAAAAGGGAAAAGACAAGCUAUUUUACUCUACCUAGACGCUGAAGAGUUCAACUCAACUCAUCUGAUGAGUUCAAACCAAGUGUUCAAUUUGAGUCAAAUCAACUCAAAUAUUUUCAAAUUCCAAAUUUUGAUUGAAAGAACACUUUUAAGUCUGUUAUAAGUGGUUGCUACUAAAACACAUGUAUCUGGAACCCCAGUUGACAAGCAGUUUUUAGAGUGAAACUGCACUUGUUCAACCUCCGUGUCGAUGCUCAAAAUUUGGGAUUAGAUGCUGAAGAAAGUUAAUACACAUGCAUGCUAGAAAGAAGUUUGAAACCACAGUUCGUUCCCAAUGUCCUUUGUCCUUCCUAAAUGCUCGAAGAGCAGGAAACAGCCUCCAGCAACCAGUAACUCAAGGGGAAAAUGUUAAAGGGCACUUUCAGAAGGUACAAAGCAGGCCAGAAUUAGUUACCUCCAAGUGUGAGCCGAUAUGGGUCACUUACAUGCCCUUGCCCCUUGGCAACGCAACUAUUUAGUUACUUCACAUUUUUCCAGCCUCCUCGUCACCAGCAAGGAAUUACUCAAUUACUUGAGGGAAUUCAUCCUCAAAUGCUUCCAAAUUAAAAAUGCAAUCAAAGUCUGUUCAUCAUUCAACCUAGGUCUUCUCUCCUUGGACCACUGAUAUACAAUAUAUCAUGAAACAUGAGGGGAAGGGCAACAGGAACUGGGUGGCAUCUGAUACAGCAAGCAAAAUUCCCUAAAGUGCGAGUGUGCAAAACUUUCAGAUAAAGCAGAAGGGGACAGACUAGAAUCAGGAGUAGAGCAGCCGUAAACACAUAACAGCUGGUCAGAAAGGUCAAAUGACAGUAAGGGAGAUAGCACACUCCAACACCCAGUAAGAGACUCAGCAUAUAGGUGUUUAUUUGCCAGAAGCCUCCAAACCAGAAGCCUCCGAGCCAAGAUGGGCAAGCUGGAAUGCUUGGUUGCUAAUGAAAAAAACAAGCUGCUCACCUGUAACUGAUGAUCUGAUAGCAAUCCAUUGAAUCAAUUAGAAUGGGUUCUGCGCUCUCAGUGUGGAGUACCAAAGCUCCUUUUCAGCGCUUGUGCCCCGCUCCACAUGCCUACGUGGCUAUUUAAGGCAGGAGGAAGUGUAAGCACCUCAGUUCCUUUAAGAGCACUGAAACCAGCGAUCGAUGCUGUACAAGCAGGUGAGUUCCAGUAGAAUACUUGCACAUUACUACAGAGGGGAGGCAGGGAGGGUUUAAUGGAUACCAACAGAUCACUACCAGAUCAUCAGUUACAGAUGAGCAACCUGUUUAUCUGGAUCGUGAUCCGUUGAAUCCAUUAGAAUGGGUGUUUAGUUAGCUCCUUUAGGAGAAGGGAGCAUAGUUGGAAUUACUGUAACACUCUUUUUAGGACACCUCUCCCAAAAUUCGCCUCUGCCACAGAGCACAAGUCGAUGGUAUAAUGCUUUACGAAGAGCAGUUCAGAGGACCAUAUUGCUGCUCUACAAAUGUCCUUGAACAAAAUGCUUGACAGGUAAGCCGCCGAGGUACCAUAUACUCUGGUAGAAUGUGCCUUUAUGGAUUUUGGUGGCUAAACCUUAUGUAGCUUAUAAGUCAUUCAGAUUAGUUCCACUAACCAGUGGGACAAUCUCUGCCUAGACAGUGCUGGACCUUGAGAUCUGCCUUUAUAGCAAAAGAACAACUUCCUUAAUAUCAACUUUGUCCUAGAUAGGUAGAACAUAAGAGCCCUUUUGACAUCCAAGGAGUGCAAGGACGUCUCGAGAGCUGGUUUCGGAGAGCUGAAGAAGGUGCUUAGCUGAGAUAGCCGCUAAGUGAACUUUAAUGGAGACACUGGACAGCUCUGAUGUUUUAAACGAGGUCAGAUACAGCAGAACCUCAUACACCACAGCCUUAGACGGCCGGAAGCUUCGAGAGGCCGAGAUGCCAUUAAGCCUAGGAGUCGUUGGAUCUGUUUUGCAUGCCGAAAUGGAUUUGACUGGAACUGACGUACUAGAUCUGUUAUGGCUUGGAAUUGAUCCUGAG